AGUUACUCCCGGAAGCCCUGGGACGGGUGGUGAGGGGCCCGGGCGGAUGGCGCGCCUUAGAGAGGAUGCUGUUCGUGCUGCUUUCCGUGCCGUGUUUUCUGAAAGGUUGGAGGAGAUUAGGUGUCUCUCGGGCUGACAUUUGAAGGUCUGGAGCUGGCCGUUUAUGAGGGUUUAUAAGGGUUUUAAGCGCUCCGGCCAUGGGCGCCAACCCGAUCUUCCAGCCCCUGCGGACGGACUGCCCCCCCCCCGCCCUGGGGGGAUUGGCUGCUCUGGGACCCCGAGCCCAGAGGACAGUGAGAAGCUGACAAACCUUAAAUACAGACCAGAAGAGGAGUUUGGGGCUUGACACCUGACGUCUUAACACCAGUUCCUGUUUCUUGAGGAAGGAAGAGGUAAAAUAAAUCAGCGUUUACUGUGUCCUUCUCCAUCCCCGGAAGUCUUCAUGAAGACCCUCUCAGCUUCUACUUGAACGUGAAUAUGAGCAACUGAUCAUCUGUUCUGCGGUCAGCCCCUGGCCUGAUUCUGACUCAUGAUAUUGACCUUCUCCAUCAUCACCUUCCACAAAUUUGAUUCCUAUCUAUUCUGCCUGGAAUAGUUCAUGAGUAUAGUCACCAUUUAUGUUCCUGACGAAAGGUAUGUGCAAUGAAUAAGUCAUUGGUCUUGCCAAAUUCUAUCAUGUAAGCUUCAUUGUCAUUUCUAUCAUCAAUACCUUAUUUUCCAACUGCUGAUUUGUCUGCUUUGUUUUCAA